AGAAUCAACGCUGGCGGCGUGCCUAACACAUGCAAGUCGAACGCGAAAGGGACUUCGGUCCUGAGUAGAGUGGCGAACGGGUGAGUAACGCGUGGGUGACCUACCCUCGAGUGGGGGAUAACGUUCCGAAAGGGACGCUAAUACCGCAUGACAUUCCGGGUUUGAAGACCUGGAAAUCAAAGCCGGGGACCGCAAGGCCUGGCGCUAGAGGAGGGGCCCGCGUCUGAUUAGCUAGUUGGCGGGUAACGCCCACCAAGGCGACGAUCAGUA
rnacentral:rRNA from 1 species